rnacentral:rRNA from 1 species
GUGAGGAAUAUUGGACAAUGGGCGCAAGCCUGAUCCAGCCAUGCCGCGUGCAGGAAGACGCAUCUAUGGUGUGUAAACUGCUUUUGUACGGGAAGAAACACUCCCUCGUGAGGGAGCUUGACGGUACCGUAAGAAUAAGGAUCGGCUAACUCCGUGCCAGCAGCUGCGGUAAUACGGAGGAUCCAAGCGUUAUCCGGAAUCAUUGGGUUUAAAGGGUCCGUAGGCGGUUUAAUAAGUCAGUGGUGAAAGCCCAUCGCUCAACGAUGGAACGGCCAUUGAUACUGUUAGACUUGAAUUACAAGGAAGUAACUAGAAUAUGUAGUGUAGCGGUGAAAUGCUUAGAUAUUACAUGGAAUACCAAUUGCGAAGGCAGGUUACUACUUGUGGAUUGACGCUGAUGGACGAAAGCGUGGGGAGCGAACAGGAUUAGAAACCCUAGUAGUCC